AUUGAACGCUGGCGGCAGGCUUAACACAUGCAAGUCGAGCGAGCGGCGGACGGGUGAGUAAUGUCUGGGAAACUGCCUGAUGGAGGGGGAUAACUACUGGAAACGGUAGCUAAUACCGCAUACCAUCAGAUGUGCCCAGAUGGGAUUAGCUGGUGGGUGGGGUAAUGGCUCACCUAGGCGACGAGCCCUAGCUGGUCUGAGAGGAUGACGGGCCACACUGGAACGGGGCCACGGCCCAGACUCCUACGGGAGGCAGCAGUGGGGAUUAUUGCACAAUGGGCGCAAGCCGGAUGCAGCCAUGCCGCGUGUGUGAAGAAGGCCUUCGGGUUGUAAAGCACGUUCAGCGAGGAGGCGGUACUCGCAGAAGAAGCAACGGCUAACUCCGUGCCAGCAGCCGCGGUAAUUC
rnacentral:rRNA from 1 species